GACGAACGCUGGCGGCGUGCUUAACACAUGCAAGUCGAACGGAAAGGCCCUGCUUUUGUGGGGUGCUCGAGUGGCGAACGGGUGAGUAACACGUGAGUAACCUGCCCUUGACUUUGGGAUAACUUCAGGAGACUGGGGCUAAUACCGGAUAGGAGCUCCUGCUGCAUGGUGGGGGUUGGAAAGUUUCGGCGGUUGGGGAUGGACUCGCGGCUUAUCAGCUUGUUGGUGGGGUAGUGGCUUACCAAGGCUUUGACGGGUAGCCGGCCUGAGAGGGUGACCGGCCACAUUGGGACUGAGAUACGGCCCAGACUCCUACGGGAGGCAGCAGUGGGGAAUAUUGCACAAUGGGCGGAAGCCUGAUGCAGCAACGCCGCGUGCGGGAUGACGGCCUUCGGGUUGUAAACCGCUUUCGCCCGUGACGAAGCGUGAGUGACGGUAAUGGGUAAAGAAGCACCGGCUAACUACGUG
rnacentral:rRNA from 1 species